UACGUAGGGUGCGAGCGUUAUCCGGAUUUACUGGGUUUAAAGGGUGCGUAGGAGGACUGGUAAGUCAGUGGUGAAAUCUCCGGGCUUAACCCGGAAAUUGCCGUUGAUACUAUCAGUCUUGAAUACCGUGGAGGUGAGCGGAAUAUGUCAUGUAGCGGUGAAAUGCUUAGAUAUGACAUAGAACACCAAUUGCGAAGGCAGCUCACUACACGAAUAUUGACUCUGAGGCACGAAAGCGUGGGGAUCAAACAGG
rnacentral:rRNA from 1 species